AUGUGGUAGUUUGGCAGGGCAGCACAAAGUCGGAUGGGUUUCUGACCAGUGCUGAAUAUUCCCUCUGGGCAUCCACCAUGAGGCUGGAGGAGGAUGAAGCUCAUCCGACCCUGAAACCGUCCCGGUUCAUGUGCCUGCCCGAUGAUGCAUCACCCCAGGAGGACGUUUCCAGAAGUGGACCACCGUCCAGAGACCUAUCUCUGUGGGAAUGGAGACACUGGCAGCACAAAGCACUUCCCACCCACGAUGUUGACCAUUCCCUCCGCUGCCACCACUUUGUUAAGGUGAUGGAACUCGUGGACGUCAUGAGAGAGGAAAAUGAGGUGAGAAGAGGAACAACGAACAACUGACUUUCUUCACUGUAUUAAUUCUGAGCACCAGGAUAGAAGCUAAUGUAAUGUCCUACUUUGUGGCAUGAAGGACUCUAACUUUGGCCUUUAGUGUCUCACAACAAAGCUCAAUAAGUUAGUCGAAUGAGCAUUAAACCCCUAAUUCAAGGUGUAUGCAAAUGUAUAUUCGUCUAGCACAACAACAGGAGUCUGGUUACAGGAAUCUGUGUUUUUGAAAGGAAGACCAAACUUUAAAAAGUCACCACGAUGAAAGGAGUCAGCUGAGUUUAAUGAGAACAGAUUGUGGUUUGUAUUGCGUGACUGAAUCCAUCGUUUGGCGCUGGAAGGCAAAUUCCUGGAUCGACACGCUCCAUCGUUAGAAUAGAGAUGAUGGAUAUAUAUUGUUCAACCGGUUGUUUUGUGGCUGCUGCUUCUUUUUCUCCAGUUAGAAUGUACUCCAUUGGACGUGUAUUUUGAAUUUUGAUCAAGAUUUACUUCUACUAAUAUAUUUUUUAUACUCAGGCAAACUAGUCUUUCUCCCUCCGUCAUAAAGCUGCAACAAGACCAUUUAUCUUUGUGCUGACCUAAUAGCAGCUGGGCUGCUGGUCUUCCGGUAGUUUAAUGGAUCAGUUAUAUCACCAAGGAUAUCCGAUAUAGCAGAAGCAGCGCCACAGGUAUUAUGUGGAAUCUUCUUAAUGUCAACAGGAAAUAUGUUUUACGUAAUCAAAAAGCUGUUGUGGUCUUAUGAACAGCACCUUACAUCUCUUCCCAGUAUGAAUCAUAUCAAUUCCAAAUGUUGUUUUUAAAACCAUUUGAGACCCCCUUGUGUCACCAUUCGCUGUUGCACAAGAUUGUAUUAUCGAGAAAGACCUCUAAGAUUGUUCAAAUCUUUGAAAUUAGGUCAGAGAUUAUAGUAAAUUUACUAUUGGCUGAACUAACAAGUGGGCUUUUAUUCCCAGGCGAGAUGGCAGCUAAUGUCUUGCAUGGCUUCAUUGAUGAAUUCAUGUCAUGAAAUUCAAUUAAAACGUUUGAGCAGAAAAACUCUUGGUUCAACAUUAUUUUAACCUAAACCUUUAACUUCAACACUAUUAUCAUUAUUAUAAAUGUUGUUAUUGUCAAUAAUCCUCUGAUUUACAUGCUGAAAUAAAUCAAUUAAGGGUUAUCGUUUUAAUUCAUCAGUUAAGUGGAUUAGUAAGAUGUACCCACAGGUGUAAGCAGGCCCAUAUCUUUAAAUCAUGCUCAGCUCACGGCCCUGUCAGCUCCUUUUUGGGUUUAUUUUCCACAGCGAGACACCGUUGAUAACAUUUGUAUUAUAUUCACUCCAGUAGUGAGCCUCGCCCGUUGAAAGUAUUCGCCCCGUAUUGAAAACUGUGUUAAUUACAGCUUAACCCGGCCCAACCCAGUGUUUGCCUCCAGGGUUGUUUGUCUGAAAAUGACAGAGGGUGGCACAUGCUGUGAAGCGAUAAUUGCUGGUCUGUCUCUUGCUUUUCGUCUCUUUUUGCUUUGUCACAGUAAACGCAGCAAUGUUGGUGGACAAUAUGUAUUAUUAUGUACAUUCUCUUUGUGGGAGAGGAACAUUGUAAACACACUUAUGUAACGACAGCAUUUUAAAACACUGCUCAUGAGGCGCUACCCUUCAUACCGGCACCGGGCCUCAAGGUACAAACCUGCUCAUAGCGGAGAGUCUGUUGGUGGUUCCACCACUUUGGGCCGGACUGAAUGAUCUAAAAUCAAUCAGAUGGAUUGCAAUAAAACUUUGUACAGACAAUUGUGAUGCCCAGAGGAUGAAUUUACUUGAAUAUCUAUAUUUCUCUCUCUUUCAUACAUAUAUAUAUAUGUGUGUGGAUAUGUGCACGCACAUACUACAUAAAUAAAGUGUACUAUACCCGAGACAUUCUCUAUUAUAAUGACUAAAACCAGCAAUUUAAACAUACUCUUCCAUGUAAAAGUCCAAAUCAGUUGGGUUGAAGUUAAAAAGAUUAUCGUCAGGUAGUUUGUAUCUUAGAAAUUAACUACAACUGUCCAAAAAAUGUUGUCUAGGGAAAUAUUUGCAUUUGAAAUGUGGAACACAUUAGCUAUAAACCGUUGAGCACAAUUACUUAAGUAAUGAACUCCAGACGGUGUUCUUACCUCCAUCUUCACCCAAUUCAAUCAUAGUAAAUGUUUAGAAAUGGUUAAUCUGGACCUGCGUUAUGUUUAAAUAAUAAUUGGACUCAUUGCAUCAGUGAUAUAUUUUUUUUUGACACACAAGCAGCCUCUCCCCCAGCUACACAUCUGUAUUCUGUCUUGGAUGAUAUCAGCCACGGCUCACUUGCUUGACCUGAAUCUGCAGAGGACAUUUUAUAUUUUUCUUUAUGAAACAAAAAGAAAAAAAUAAAUAUAAAUCCCCCAAAUCUUGACCUCAGAUGCCUUCCUGCCAUCGACAGUCUUGCACUCCAAAAGCUAUUAAUCUAAUUUGAGGCCAUUUCUUUGCCUGGGCGGCUGUGUUUUUCCCUGCACUGCCCCUCUCUCUGUGCAGUGAGGAGACAUUACGUAACGCUUCUCUGAACGGUUACAUAAAGCCAGGAAGCUGGAAGUAGGUUGAGCAGCAAUGGCCUACAUAUGUAGCGUACGGGACCGGCGAGCGGGAUAUCGGUAAACAAAUGCCCAAAAAAAAGAUUAAAGGGGACGCUAAAUUAUAGACUGUAGACUAUGGACUAGAGCUGUGGGGGAUGGAAUCGGGACAUUGUCUAUCAAAUCUGCAGUAGAACUCAUUCAGCUCGUCGGCCAGGCGGAGGUCAUUCAUGGAGUGGGGUUUUUUGGCUUGUGGUUUAAUGUAAACAAAUAGAAUUGUAAUACAUUUUGAGACGUAAGCAUCAUGUGUCUCAUUUCCUUCUGUCUUGAUGUUGUCUGAACGGCUUGACAUUGUUGUGAGUCAAGUAUCCUCCUGCUUACGUCAGAAGUAGCUUUCAUAAAAGCCCGGAAACACUUCAGAUCAUCCUUUUUAUCUGAGAAUCAUUAUAGUGGUUCUUGGGUUGUCAUGUAACCAGCAACUCCAUAACAAAGGACGCCAGUUUUGUUUUAGAUCGGCGCACCUUAUAUAUGUUUAUAAACUGCAGGAUUUGGGGGGAAAAGUCAUGCAAGUUGAAUAACACAGGCGAUGCAUCGUCCAUGAGCGCCAUGUGCUUCCUUCAUCGUUAUGUUUGAGACAACAAAAACCCUGUGAUCCGCUCUCGCUGGCCUUGUCAUAGUUUAUUUUCUCCAUCCACAGACUCAAUGUGACCAUUAAUGCAUUGUUUGUCAGGGGUGAAAGUUAAUCGUUUGCGAAUCCAGUUCCAGUCGUUAAGAAUCUUCAAUAAAUACCCUUUGACAACUUAAAAGAUUAUAAAAUAUGUUUUGUGUUGAUGCGCGUUGAAGUAAAUAUUCAUCAAUUCAACAGUUACUAUUAAUAAACUCGAAGAGAAAUAAAUAUUGUUUAUUUUAAGAGCGAGCUCGCCUGCAUACGGAACAGCCGCUAGUGGAUUAUUGGUUUGAUUAUUUAAACCUCACCGCGCCUCCUUAAACAAGGAAAUUAAGAACUAGUAGAAAACAAUGAAAUUAUCAUUAAAUGGGAAGGAAUUUAGUAGUAAAAGGCCCAAUUGGGGACAAAAAUAAAAAUCUGAAAACACAACUGGAAACUGCCGUACAGGUGUUGUAUUACAUAAACUAAGUAUUGAUUGAUUAAAUAACAAAAACAGUUAUUUAUAUUUUCUAAUGCGUUUUUAUUUUACAAUGAAAUAUAAAUUACGAAAGCCGGUUAGUCCCCACAAUUGAGAUUUUAAUUGUUAUCCGUUAUUCAAAAUGUUUUUUAUAUGUGAAUAAUGUACAUGGUCAAAAAUACACAUCAGGACUAAACAUUUUUAAAUACAAGUUUAAGUAAGUAAGUAAGGAGUAAAAAAUGUAAGUGAAGGAAAUUUGAUUAAACACAGGUUAACAUGCAUGUCUAUUUAAAUUAAAAGUAAACCACAAUAACUUUAUAAUUUAGCAAAUUCUGCUUGUGAAUGGCAAUAAGACAUUUGGUUUAAUAAAUAUAUUAAUUUGGAAAAAAAUAUGAUCCCACAUUAUUUUUUUCCCCCAAAAGUGUACCAAAUAAAAAAAUAAUCUAGUCAGGUUAUAUAAUAAUGAAAUAAAUGUUCCUAAUCAGACAUACUUUGUCCCAUGCUGUACAAUGUGUGUGUGUGUGUACUAACACUGCUGAUGAGGCCUUACUGGUCAUACCAGUAGAUAAAUCCUACUGACUUUGAAAGAACAAUUGACGAGGAUCAGCAGAGUACAGAGGUUUUCUAACUCAAAAGGGGAUGAAAUUAGGACGUUAUUAAUUUAAACCCGGUAAUUAUCAACACGGUAAAGGUUUGCGUCUUGGAUUAAAUCGAGUUGGUACUAAAAAAAUAUAUCUGAGAAAGGUAAACAACAGCUUGACAGCAGUUCUUGGAGACUGAUUGAGUGACUGUUACUGUUGACAGGUGACAACAUCAACUCCUGCACUUAGUCCCCCGUUGGUGUAAAGACCCAGCAGAGUCUUACCAACUCUGGAUCAAAAGGAAAGCGGCAGCUCUCCAAGCGCCACUGAUGCACAGUUUCAUAACGUGACACAUGUGGAAAGGACUCUUUUAUUCACACUAAGAAGCUUUGUUUCGUCCCAUUGUUUGACGAUGGUGCCAUUUGUUUCCAUUCAAAUCAUCCCCACUCUUUGUUGGGCAGCUUAAUCUUAUGUCACCAGUUUAAUACGGUGACAUAAGGUCUUCUUUGAUCUAUUUUUAUUACCUUCUUCAUAAGCAAAGCCAGUAGCUUUCCCUCCACACGCACUCCUUUCCUGCCUCUCACUAGGCCACUUGUUUG
ensembl:lncRNA